UACGGUAGGGGGCUAGCGUUGUCCGGAUUUAUUGGGCGUAAAGAGCUCGUAGGUGGUUCGGUAAGUCGGAUGUGAAAUCUCCAGGCUCAACCUGGAGGGGUCAUUCGAUACUGCCGUGACUAGAGUUCGGAAGAGGCGAGUGGAAUUCCCGGUGUAGCGGUGAAAUGCGUAGAUAUCAGGAGGAACACCAAUUGCGAAGGCAGCUCGCUGGGACGUUACUGACGCUGAGACGCGAAAGCGUGGGGAGCAAACAGG
rnacentral:rRNA from 1 species